GACAAGGCUGCAGGGCCAGAGACACCCCACCAUUCUUUUUCAGUUCGUCUGCCACUUGCCCCUUGCUGUAGCCAGACCAGCUCCUUCCUGCUCCCCUGUACCGCACGGGGUCCUGGAUCAGGCCUCUGCAUGCACAGGGGACAGGGAGCUUCCCUGCACGGCAUCCUCCCACCUUAAGGCCAUGGAAAAUUCAGAAAGCCUGAAGAAAACUUGAGGGGAAGAGCCUUUCACAGACAACUUCCAUCGGUUUCCAGUCUCUGUGUUUCCAGAAAAUUCUAUUACCUGGCUCAAGUGUAAGUGAGCCAUCUGUUUCCUGAUGUCCGUAUACUGAUUACAGGAAGGCUGCAGCGGUUAA